CCCCAUCCCUCCCUCGCCCAACCUCUCUCCAUAAAAGACUUGCAUGGGAAGGAGCUUAAUGGAUUCCCCCAAAAAAACUCAAACCUUCACAAAGCAACACUUGAUGACAUGAUGGAGGACCAUCAUGUCUCUAACUCGACCCUGCGUUUAACCCCUUCCAGCUCCACACAAAAGCUGCAGUGUGGUAAACAUUUUCCCGCCAAAAAAGCCUUUCAUCCUGAAGCUCAAACCCUAUUAGCAUUAGCGACUUGGAGAAGAGCAAAACCCGAGGCACUAAGUGGUCCUUGUCGUUGUAGAAGCUUGAGACCGUUUAAACGACAGCCAGGCCCCGGCACCACUUGCGCAUUGGUGUACAUGAAAUGACUCCCUCUAUAGGUCAAACACUUGCUAUUGCAUGGAGAACUCAUUAUCGGCUGAGGCUGAACAGGCACACCGAAAGAUGUAUGCUCUUUGUUCUGCUCCACAAAGUGGGUGUAGUGCUGUGCUCAUUCAGAAAAUUAAUAAAAGUGGGAGAAGCACACAAGACGGAUUGGCAGUGACGCCCUGAAUGUUAUUUGGCAAUUUUAAACUCGAUCCAUUCAUUAGCACAUCGCAGACCCCGUCUCGUGUAAAUAUUCAUCAGCUCUUUCGAAGCCUUGUUGUGCAUAAUCAAACCGAGGGCUCUUGAAGUCCUUCUGUCGUCAAGAACCCAAGAACCCGCGUUCAAUGUUCUCUGUAGACCAGUAGGGAGACUCCGCGACGUGAAAAGAAAACCGAAGGGCAAAUGUUUGCCUAAAGCAAAAGAAGAAAGGGCCUGCUUAAUGAACUAUUCCCCAUCCAAAGCGAAUUUCCCCAUUCCCCCAUUGCACUCAUUCUUCUCAAGGCUCCUGUUCAGUCCUGUUGUCUUAACAUUCAGUCUGCUUGCUGUCUGCCUUUGUCAUUCAUGCCGGGUAACUCUAAUCCCUGUAAUGAUCUUCGGCUCCGUCCAAGUGGUGGUGUUGGUGGAGGGG
ensembl:lncRNA